UUCGACUCAGGCCCGGAUCUCCUGGGAACCCCAGCGCUGAGCUGAUAUUCGGACACUUGGUAAUUGAUUCAUGCAGAUAUAAUUGACACAGGAUUUGUAUAUGGAGCAUAUACGAGGACACGUACGCACACGUAGGACAUAAGCCUCAGAC
rnacentral:lncRNA from 1 species